GCCGAAGUGGCGAAAUUUGGUAAACGCAAUUGACUCAAAAUCAAUCGUCUAAAGACUUGCCGGUUCAAUUCCGGCCUUCGGCA
rnacentral:tRNA from 1 species